rnacentral:lncRNA from 1 species
GGCAGAAGGCAGAGCAGUUUAAAGGAAAUGAUACCACAGAGUCAGUAUUGGAAGAGCAAACAANAGGCAAGACAUCCUUAAGGCUGCAGUUCUAUUAUCAUGCCCUGCCCUGCACCAGUGGAAGCUGAUCCCUCUGAAUCCUCAGAUGAGGACAGGGCACCAGGACACAGCAANCCCGACCCUAGUGGAACAGACUCUCCAGGACCUGGGUCCUCCCAUAGCCCAGAGAUGGAGAGACCUCUCCCUAGCCAGCAGAGACAGGAGAAGGUUAAAAGGCUUAGGGCUUUAAGACUAAAGCAAAAGGAUAUCANUGUCACUAAGGAGGGCAUGGUAAAGAUAUUAAAAGAUAUUAAUUCAAUAAAACAUAUUAGAAUUAAAGAGUUAUUAAUGAAAUUAGUCUAUAAAUGGUAUAGGACUCCAGCACGAUUGGCUAAUAUGAUAAAUAAUUUUACUUCAAGAUGUUGGCAUUUAUGUGGUAUGAAGGGGACGUAUAUUCAUAUGUGGUGGUUAUGCCCAAGAGUACUACAAUUUUGGAAUGAAGUGCAAACAAUAAUCCAGGACAUAACAAAUGUUAAUAUUGAACAAUACCCUGAGAUGUUUAUAUUACAAAUAUACAGAAGUCAGAACAUAAGAGAUAAACAAAAGUAUUUGGUAAACCAAUUGUUGUAUGCAGCACUAGCAAUGAUAGCAUAUGGCUGGAGGGAUGGUACAAAAUGGACAACAAACAAUUGGUAUAAUUAUAUUAUAGAUCAAUUUAAAUUCGAUUUCCUCAGACAACAACUUAUGAAAUUGUUAGGUAUUCAGAAUAGAACCCAAGCAGAAGAGGAUUGGAAAAAGCUGCUGAUUUAUAUAAAUAGAUCAGACAUAACAGGAAGCUUGAAAGAAGAAAUUAUGAAAAUAAUGGAAAUUUGGUCCUAAUGAUUUGUAAUUUGUUUCUGCUGUUGUGGGGGGAAGGGAGGGAGGAAAAUUGUAANUGGAACGGUAAAUUGUAAUAAUAUGUAAUGGU